AUUGAACGCUGGCGGCAUGCCUUACACAUGCAAGUCGAACGGCAGCACGGGGGCAACCCUGGUGGCGAGUGGCGAACGGGUGAGUAACAUAUCGGAACGUGCCCUGGAGUGGGGGAUAACUAGUCGAAAGAUUAGCUAAUACCGCAUACGAUCUACGGAUGAAAGUGGGGGAUCGCAAGACCUCAUGCUCGUGGAGCGGCCGAUAUCUGAUUAGCUAGUUGGUGGGGUAAAGGCCUACCAAGGCAUCGAUCAGUAGCUGGUCUGAGAGGACGACCAGCCACACUGGGACUGAGACACGGCCCAGACUCCUACGGGAGGCAGCAGUGGGGAAUUUUGGACAAUGGGCGCAAGCCUGAUCCAGCAAUGCCGCGUGAGUGAAGAAGGCCUCCGGGUUGUAAAGCUCUUUUGUCAGGGAAGAAACGGUGAGGGCUAAUAUCCUUUACUAAUGACGGUACCUGAAGAAUAAGCACCGGCUAACUACGUGCCAGCAGCCGCGGUAAUACGUAGGGUGCAAGCGUUAAUCGGAAUUACUGGGCGUAAAGCGUGCGCAGGCGGUUGUGCAAGACCGAUGUGAAAUCCCCGGGCUUAACCUGGGAAUGGCAUUGGUGACUGCACGGCUAGAGUGUGUCAGAGGGGGGUAGAAUUCCACGUGUAGCAGCGAAAUGCGUAGAGAUGUGGAGGAAUACCGAUGGCGAAGGCAGCCCCCUGGGAUAACACUGACGCUCAUGCACGAAAGCGUGGGGAGCAAACAGGAUUAGAUACCCUGGUAGUCCACGCCCUAAACGAUGUCAACUAGUUGUCGGGUCUUAAUUGACUUGGUAACGCAGCUAACGCGUGAAGUUGACCGCCUGGGGAGUACGGUCGCAAGAUUAAAACUCAAAGGAAUUGACGGGGACCCGCACAAGCGGUGGAUGAUGUGGAUUAAUUCGAUGCAACGCGAAAAACCUUACCUACCCUUGACAUGGCAGGAAUCCCGGAGAGAUUCGGGAGUGCUCGAAAGAGAACCUGCACACAGGUGCUGCAUGGCUGUCGUCAGCUCGUGUCGUGAGAUGUUGGGUUAAGUCCCGCAACGAGCGCAACCCUUGUCAUUAGUUGCUACGAAAGGGCACUCUAAUGAGACUGCCGGUGACAAACCGGAGGAAGGUGGGGAUGACGUCAAGUCCUCAUGGCCCUUAUGGGUAGGGCUUCACACGUCAUACAAUGGUACAUACAGAGGGCCGCCAACCCGCGAGGGGGAGCUAAUCCCAGAAAGUGUAUCGUAGUCCGGAUUGCAGUCUGCAACUCGACUGCAUGAAGUUGGAAUCGCUAGUAAUCGCGGAUCAGCAUGUCGCGGUGAAUACGUUCCCGGGUCU
rnacentral:rRNA from 1 species